rnacentral:rRNA from 1 species
CGGGGGGAGCAAGCGUUGUUCGGAUUUACUGGGCGUAAAGGGCGCGUAGGCGGCGUGACAAGUCACUUGUGAAAUCUCCGGGCUUAACUCGGAACGGUCAAGUGAUACUGUCGUGCUAGAGUACAGAAGGGGCAACUGGAAUUCUCGGUGUAGUGGUGAAAUGCGUAGAUAUCGAGAGGAACACCUGCGGCGAAGGCGGGUUGCUGGGCUGAUACUGACGCUGAGGCGCGAAAGCCAGGGGAGCGAACGGGAUUAGAUACCCCGGUAGUCCUGGCCUUAAACGAUGAAUGCUUGGUGUCUCGGGUUAUAAAGUCCCGGGGUGCCGUCGCUAACGCUUUUAGCAUUCCGCCUGGGGAGUACGGUCGCAAGACUG